GCCUGGGUGGCUCAGCUGGUUAAGCGUCUGACUUAGGCUCAGGUCAUGGUGAGUUCGAGCCCUGCCUCGGGCU
rnacentral:tRNA from 1 species